GACGAACGCUGGCGGCGUGCUUAACACAUGCAAGUCGAACGGAAAGGCCCUGCUUUUGUGGGGUGCCCGAGUGGCGAACGGGUGUGUAACACGUGAGUAAGCUGCCCUUGACUUUGGGACAUCUUCAGACAACUGGGGCUAAUACCGGAUAGGAGCUCCUGCUGCAUGGUGGGGGUCGGACCGUUCCGUCGGUUGGGGAUGGACUGGCGGCUUACGAGCUUGUUGGGGGGGGAGCGGCUUACCCAGGCAUUGACAGAUAGCCGGCAUGGGAGGGUGGACGGGCACAUUGGGACUGAGAGACGGAGCAGUCUCGUACGUGAGGCAACAGUGGAGAAUAUUGCACAGUGGGCGGGAGCGUGAUGAGACAACGCCGCGAGCGUGAAGACGGCCUUGUGGUGGGAAACCGCAUUCGCCUGUGACGUAGCUUUAGUGACGGUAAUGGGUAAAGAAGCACCGGCUAACUACGUG
rnacentral:rRNA from 1 species